AGCCACAGUGAAUAUGUUUGUAUGAAGGCCCGCUGAUCUUAACAAUGUGCCCGCCUGGGAACGUGGGGUGGCUGUGCUCGGGCGGCAGGCGGCCCUAGAAUGGAGUGUUCCUUGCUGGGAUGGGGACGCAGGUGGGAAACCCGGUUUAACAAAUUAUUCGCUUGAUUCCGGGGAGCAUUCUCCUCGGGCCAAGUCUUGGCAGGCGGCGUCCGAAACUCGCAGAUCCCGUUCCGGGCCGCGUCCCCAGUCCCUUGCCGGGGAGAGCCCUCUGCAGUGGCGGUCGGCGCAGGUGACGGACGUCCGGGAGGCUCCGCUCCCCCUCCUAGAGCCUAGAAGCCGUCACUGCGCCCCGUCUGCUCGGGCUCCGCAGUUGGCG